rnacentral:lncRNA from 1 species
AUGAAAAAGAGUUUAAAAUACAUUAAUACAAAUGUAGAAUAUGGUUAGAAAUUUUAAAACAACACUGAAGAUUAUAGGCUUCAGUAUAUAAAGUAUUUACCAAAAACUCAAUAUUUUCGUAGGGGUUACAACAUAUAUUUUGAGAAAAUUUCAAAAAAUAAGAAAAUAUUGUUUUAGUGCCUAGUUGCAUCAUGCAUUAACAUAUGAUGGCGUUCAAAGAGGUUUGGAACCUUUGUUGUCUCUGUUUUUCAAGAAAAUAGUGAUUUUAUAGUGGUUAUUCC